rnacentral:rRNA from 1 species
UACGAAGGGGGCUAGCGUUGCUCGGAAUCACUGGGCGUAAAGCGCACGUAGGCGGAUUGCUAAGUCAGGGGUGAAAUCCUGGAGCUCAACUCCAGAACUGCCUUUGAUACUGAGGAUCUUGAGUCCGGGAGAGGUGAGUGGAACUCCGAGUGUAGAGGUGAAAUUCGUAGAUAUUCGGAAGAACACCAGUGGCGAAGGCGGCUCACUGGCCCGGUACUGACGCUGAGGUGCGAAAGCGUGGGGAGCAAACAGG